GGUUGUGGCUGAGUGGGAGAGUGCUUGCCUCUCAUGUGUGAGGCCCUGGGUUUGAUUCUCAGCACCG
rnacentral:tRNA from 1 species